AGUCUCUGCCGGUAGAAAGGCGUCUCUGCGCUCCCAGGGAUCUACUCGCGCGUCGCCUGUACAAACCCUCUGCUGUGUGGCCUUGUAUCUUUAGGUAGGGGGACAUCUUUUGUCUCUCGGCAAGAAGUUUUCCUCCGGGGAAGAUAAAGUAAUCGAUAGGGCCUUUUUAAAUAGCUCCGAGUUUCCUGUCGGGCCAGGAGUAUCAGCGCGCACACCAAAUCUGCUCUGGGCCAUCUCCAACAAGACUGUCAGAAAAAUGAGGAGCAGAGCCCAAGAUGAUUGGAACAUCCUUUGUGACCCGAGAACCCUGCUACUGUUCCCAGAGCUCUGCCCCUUGACCCUACUGAGGCUCCAACAGACUGGCACCAGAUAUCAUCACUUUGCCGCCGCCGCCGUCAUCAUUAUCAGUAACAAAUGAUAGAAUGCAUUUAAAUGGCAAAACAGUUACCUCAAUAUCACAGCAAGCAGAAAAAAGAAAUAACUUCCUGGGAGUCCUUCCAGAAUUUUCUUCAGUCAUGGACCUGGGGACAUAUAUUUAAAAUACGCCUGUUGGACCGCACUGGGAGCACCUCAUGUCUUCGGUUUUUCUCCCGCGACGUUUGCGGGACCCUGUCCCAGCACAGUUGCCUGGGAAGAGCAUGCCACAUCGGUUUUCCCGAUUUUCUUCCGCAUUCGCCGACACGUGAGUUCCACGCUGAGCACGUGGGUCCUAAGCAGCACUGCUAGAGAACCAGUUGCUGGCCCUGCGGUCUAGCUGCGGCGCUGGGGCUGCGGACUGCUGCCCUCUCGUGGCCAGUCAGGGGAACGCCUCGAGAGUCCCAGCCCUCCAGGAUCUCACCCAUUCCCUCCCGCGGCAGCUCAACAGCCUGCUCUUGGUGCCCGAAAAGGACAGAAUCUUCGUUCUUCAUCUCUCAUGCUCACCCAGGGGCCAAAUCUUGCCUCAGUGAGGCAGCUGUGAAAAUUAGUUGGAGCAAGGAUGCUUGUCAGGUACUCCUAAGUUGGGGAACUCAGAUAAUGCCAGGUACCUGCUGGGUGUCCCGCACAGUGCUAAGAGACAGGGGAUUCCUUAUGCUUGAAUUGAACCAGCAAGGGCAGGCGCACUUAGCUUUGCCGCGUGAUUAGCUAAGCUGAAUGCUAGCAUCUAUUACCUUCCCUUCAUCUACCCACCUAACUAACUCACCCAUCCACUUAUCUAUAUAUCUAUUCAACUACCCAUGGGUCCUUCUUCAGUCAUUUACAAUUCUUCCCUGAUUAUCAACAUACUGAGUGCUGAGUUCUGUC
rnacentral:lncRNA from 1 species